AUGCAAUUGGCGAAACAUUUUAUUCAAACAAAUGUAGAACCAGAAUGGAUGGUUUUGUGCUUAUUACCGGUUCUUCCUCCCGAAUUGAGACCUAUUGUUUAUAGGUCUGGAGAUAAAGUAGUGACUUCAAACAUUAAUGAACUUUAUAAGAGAGUUAUCCGUCGGAACAACAAUCUUGCCUAUCUAUUAAAAAGAAGUGAAUUAGCGCCAGCAGAUUUAGUAAUGUGCCAGGAAAAAUUGGUACAAGAAGCCGUGGAUACACUUCUUGAUAGUGGGUCCCGCGGGCAACCGACGAGGGAUGGUCACAAUAAAGUAUACAAAUCACUUUCAGAUGUAAUUAAAGGUAAAGAGGGAAGGUUUCACGAGACUCUGCUUGGGAAACGGGUCGAUUACUCGGGGCGUUCUGUCAUUGUUGUGGGUCCUUCGCUUUCAUUACAUCAAUGUGGAUUACCUCUAGAGAUAGCAAUAAAGCUUUUUUAG
rnacentral:rRNA from 1 species